rnacentral:rRNA from 1 species
UACGUAGGUGGCAAGCGUUGUCCGGAAUUAUUGGGCGUAAAGCGCGCGCAGGCGGCCUUUUAAGUCUGAUGUGAAAGCCCACGGCUCAACCGUGGAAGGUCAUUGGAAACUGAAGGGCUUGAGUACAGAAGAGGAAAGCGGAAUUCCACGUGUAGCGGUGAAAUGCGUAGAGAUGUGGAGGAACACCAGUGGCGAAGGCGGCUUUCUGGUCUGUAACUGACGCUGAGGCGCGAAAGCGUGGGGAGCGAACAGG